UGUACUUUCUCUUCAUGCCACCAUUUUUCAGGUGUAUUACAAACAGUUUGCAACCCAAACUUUGAAUUUGGAGGAGAAAGGAACAAUAUUGCUUCUUUAUCUCUCUCUUUCUCAGAGAUGAAGAAAAAUGGUGUGUCUAAAGGAAAAUAGGGUCACUAUGGGAUAAGUACCAGAGUCUUGGGCAUCGUAAGGUGAAACUUAUAUUUUGAUUUGAAGGCAAUUUGUCUCAAACACGUAAAUGGGGUGGCUUAGAUGAUGAACCAACAGGGAUUUUCAAAGGAGUUGUUACCACUAUAAAUAAUGGAGGUUUUGUCAUUACAAGGACAAAGGUGAAGAUUUCUUUCCUACACUGUCUAGUGCUCGGUACAUUUCAUUGUUGUUUCUAUUCCAUUUUUAAUUUUUUGCUGGUGGUAUGAAUUUCAUGGGGGCAGUGGAGCAUUCUCUAUCCAUUCUGACAAUAUUUAUCCUACUUGAAGGAAAAAGUAAGCUACAUAUAACAUUAAUAUUUGUUUUUUGGGUU